rnacentral:tRNA from 1 species
GCCUUCGUAGUGCAAUGGUCAGCACGCUUGGCCCGUAAUCGAUAGGCCCGUGAUUCGAAUCCCCGCGAAGGUA